rnacentral:rRNA from 1 species
GACGAAGGGGGCUAGCGUUGUUCGGAAUUACUGGGCGUAAAGGGCGCGUAGGCGGUUUAGUAAGUUGGAAGUGAAAGCCCGGGGCUUAACCUCGGAACUGCUUUCAAAACUACUAAACUAGAGUGUAGUAGGGGAUGAUGGAAUUCCUAGUGUAGAGGUGGAAUUCUUAGAUAUUAGGAGGAACACCGGUGGCGAAAGCGAUCAUCUGGACUACAACUGACGCUGAGGCGCGAAAGCGUGGGGAGCAAACAGG